UACGUAGGGGGCAAGCGUUGUCCGGAAUCAUUGGGCGUAAAGCGCGUGUAGGCGGCUCGAUAAGUCUGCUGUGAAAGUCCAGGGCUCAACCCUGGAAUGCCGGUGGAAACUGUCGAGCUAGAGUCCGGAAGAGGCGAGUGGAAUUCCUGGUGUAGCGGUGAAAUGCGCAGAUAUCGGGAAGAACACCCGUGGCGAAGGCGGCUCUCUGGGACGGUACUGACGCUGAGACGCGAAAGCGUGGGGAGCGAACAGG
rnacentral:rRNA from 1 species